rnacentral:rRNA from 1 species
UGCCAUAACGAGCGCAACCCCCACCGCCAGUUGCCAUCAAGUAAAGUUGGGGACUCUGGCGGGACUGCCGGCGCAAGCUGCGAGGAAGGCGGGGAUGACGUCAAAUCAGCACGGCCCUUACGUCCGGGGCGACACACGUGUUACAAUGGCAGGUACAGCGGGAUGCCACGCGGCGACGCGGAGCUGAACCCGAAAACCUGUCUCAGUUCGGAUCGGAGUCUGCAACCCGACUCCGUGAAGCUGGAUUCGCUAGUAAUCGCGCAUCAGCCACGGCGCGGUGAAUACGUUCCCGGGCCUUGUACACACCGCCCGUCAAGCCAUGGGAGCCGGGGGUGCCUGAAGUGUGCGACCGCGAGGAGCGCCCUAAGGUAAAACCGGUGACUGGGGCUAAGUCGUAACAAGGUA